AAUAGAUACCCUGGUAGUCCACGCCGUAAACGGUGGGCACUAGGUGUGGGCGACAUUCCACGUCGUCCGUGCCGCAGCUAACGCAUUAAGUGCCCCGCCUGGGGAGUACGGCCGCAAGGCUAAAACUCAAAGGAAUUGACGGGGGGCCCGCACAAGCGGCGGAGCAUGUGGCUUAAUUCGACGCAACGCGAAGAACCUUACCAAGGCUUGACAUACACCGGAAACGUCCAGAGAUGGGCGCCCCCUUGUGGUCGGUGUACAGGUGGUGCAUGGCUGUCGUCAGCUCGUGUCGUGAGAUGUUGGGUUAAGUCCCGCAACGAGCGCAACCCUUGUCCCGUGUUGCCAGCAGGCCCUUGUGGUGCUGGGGACUCACGGGGAGACCGCCGGGGGUCAACUCGGAGGAAGGUGGGGACGACGUCAAGUCAUCAUGCCCCUUAUGUCUUGGGCUGCACACGUGCUACAAUGGCCGGUACAAUGAGCUGCGAUACCGCGAGGUGGAGCGAAUCUCAAAAAGCCGGUCUCAGUUCGGAUUGGGGUCUGC
rnacentral:rRNA from 1 species